UCAGGUAGGACUACCCGCUGAACUUAAGCAUAUCAAUAAGCGGAGGAAAAGAAACUAACAAGGAUUCCCCUAGUAACUGCGAGUGAAGCGGGAAAAGCUCAAAUUUAAAAUCUGGCGGUCUUUGGCCGUCCGAGUUGUAGUCUGGAGAAGCGUCUUCCGCGUUGGACCGUGUACAAGUCUCUUGGAACAGAGCGUCAUAGAGGGUGAGAAUCCCGUCUUUGACACGGACUACCAAUGCUUUGUGAUGCGCUCUCAAAGAGUCGCGUUGUUUGGGAAUGCAGCGCAAAAUGGGAGGUGAAUUCCUUCUAAAGCUAAAUAUUGGCGAGAGACCGAUAGCGAACAAGUACCGUGAGGGAAAGAUGAAAAGCACUUUGGAAAGAGAGUUAAACAGUACGUGAAAUUGCUAAAAGGGAAACGCUUGAAGUCAGUCGCGUCGUCCGGAACUCAGCUUUGCUUCGGCUUAGUGCACUUUCCGGUUGACGGGCCAGCAUCGAUUUUGACCGCUGGAAAAGGGCUGGAGGAAUGUGGCACCUUCGGGUGUGUUAUAGCCUUCAGUCGCAUACAGCGGUUGGGAUCGAGGAACGCAGCGCGCCUUAUGGCUGGGGUUCGCCCACAUUCGCGCUUAGGAUGCUGGCAUAAUGGCUUUAAACGACCCGUCUUGAAACACGGACCAAGGAGUCUAACAUGCCUGCGAGUGUUUGGGUGGAAAACCCG
rnacentral:rRNA from 1 species